rnacentral:rRNA from 1 species
UGAGGAAUAUUGGUCAAUGGACGAGAGUCUGAACCAGCCAAGUAGCGUGCAGGAUGACGGCCCUAUGGGUUGUAAACUGCUUUUGUUUGGGAAUAAUCGACAUUACGUGUAAUGUAUUGCAUGUACCAUUCGAAUAAGGACCGGCUAAUUCCGUGCCAGCAGCCGCGGUAAUACGGCAGGUCCAGGCGUUAUCUGGAUUUAUUGGGUUUAAAGGGAGUGGAGGCGGUUGGUUAAGCGUGUUGUGAAAUGUAGAUGCUAAACAUCUGACUUGCAGCGCGAACUGGCUGACUUGAGUACACACAACGUAGGCGAAAUUCAUGGUGUAGCGGUGAAAUGCUUAGAUAUCAUGAAGAACUCCGAUUGCGAAGGCAGCUUACGGGAGUGUUACUGACGCUUAAGCUCGAAGGUGCGGGUAUCGAACAGG